rnacentral:rRNA from 1 species
AAUGAACGCUGGCGGUGUGCCUAAUACAUGCAAGUCGAGCGAACGCACGAUGAGCCUGCUCCUCUGAGGUUGGCGGCGGACGGGUGGGUAAGACAUGGAUAACCUACCUAUUAUACUGGGAUGACUACGGGAAACCACAUCUAAUACCAGAUAAUAUAUUGAACGGCAUGAUUCAGUAGUUAAUGACACUUUUGCUGUCACUUUGAGAUGAUGUCGCGCCGGAUUAGCUAGUUGGUAAGGUAACGGCUUACCAAGGCGACGAUGCGUAGCUGAUCUGAGAGGGUGAUCAGCCACACUGGAACUGAGACACGGUCCAGACUCCUACGGGAGGCAGCAGUGGGGAAUAUUCCACAAAGGGCGCAAGCCUGAUCGAGCCACACCGCGUGAGUGAUGAAGGCCUUCGGAUCGUAAAGCCCUGUUAUUAGGAAAGAAAAAAUGCGUAAGAAACCCCCGCUGUUCUGACGGUACCUAAUGAGUAAGCACCGGCUAACUUCGUG